GGCGGCGUGCCUAAUACAUGCAAGUCGAACGAACUCUGGUAUUGAUUGGUGCUUGCAUCAUGAUUUACAUUUGAGUGAGUGGCGAACUGGUGAGUAACACGUGGGAAACCUGCCCAGAAGCGGGGGAUAACACCUGGAAACAGAUGCUAAUACCGCAUAACAACUUGGACCGCAUGGUCCGAGCUUGAAAGAUGGCUUCGGCUAUCACUUUUGGAUGGUCCCGCGGCGUAUUAGCUAGAUGGUGGGGUAACGGCUCACCAUGGCAAUGAUACGUAGCCGACCUGAGAGGGUAAUCGGCCACAUUGGGACUGAGACACGGCCCAAACUCCUACGGGAGGCAGCAGUAGGGAAUCUUCCACAAUGGACGAAAGUCUGAUGGAGCAACGCCGCGUGAGUGAAGAAGGGUUUCGGCUCGUAAAACUCUGUUGUUAAAGAAGAACAUAUCUGAGAGUAACUGUUCAGGUAUUGACGGUAUUUAACCAGAAAGCCACGGCUAACUACGUGCCAGCAGCCGCGGUAAUACGUAGGUGGCAAGCGUUGUCCGGAUUUAUUGGGCGUAAAGCGAGCGCAGGCGGUUUUUUAAGUCUGAUGUGAAAGCCUUCGGCUCAACCGAAGAAGUGCAUCGGAAACUGGGAAACUUGAGUGCAGAAGAGGACAGUGGAACUCCAUGUGUAGCGGUGAAAUGCGUAGAUAUAUGGAAGAACACCAGUGGCGAAGGCGGCUGUCUGGUCUGUAACUGACGCUGAGGCUCGAAAGUAUGGGUAGCAAACAGGAUUAGAUACCCUGGUAGUCCAUACCGUAAACGAUGAAUGCUAAGUGUUGGAGGGUUUCCGCCCUUCAGUGCUGCAGCUAACGCAUUAAGCAUUCCGCCUGGGGAGUACGGCCGCAAGGCUGAAACUCAAAGGAAUUGACGGGGGCCCGCACAAGCGGUGGAGCAUGUGGUUUAAUUCGAAGCUACGCGAAGAACCUUACCAGGUCUUGACAUACUAUGCAAAUCUAAGAGAUUAGACGUUCCCUUCGGGGACAUGGAUACAGGUGGUGCAUGGUUGUCGUCAGCUCGUGUCGUGAGAUGUUGGGUUAAGUCCCGCAACGAGCGCAACCCUUAUUAUCAGUUGCCAGCAUUAAGUUGGGCACUCUGGUGAGACUGCCGGUGACAAACCGGAGGAAGGUGGGGAUGACGUCAAAUCAUCAUGCCCCUUAUGACCUGGGCUACACACGUGCUACAAUGGAUGGUACAACGAGUUGCGAACUCGCGAGAGUAAGCUAAUCUCUUAAAGCCAUUCUCAGUUCGGAUUGUAGGCUGCAACUCGCCUACAUGAAGUCGGAAUCGCUAGUAAUCGCGGAUCAGCAUGCCGCGGUGAAUACGUUCCCGGGCCUUGUACACACCGCCCGUCACACCAUGAGAGUUUGUAACACCCAAAGUCGGUGGGGUAACCUUUUAGGAACCAGCCGCCUAAGGUGGGACAGAUGAUUAGGGUGAAGUCUA
rnacentral:rRNA from 1 species